UGAAAAUUAUAGGCCUCUCUCAUCUUUUUAAGUGGGAGAACUUGCACAAUUGGUGGCUGACUAAAUACUUUUUUUUGCCCCACUGUAUAUGGUGCUUUGAAUGUUUUAAAGGCAAUAUGCCUAAAACUUAUGCACCUGGUGCUCUUAUGUUUUAUAUCUUUAUUUAACUAUUUUUUUGCAGCAGGCUUCUUGACUUUAGGCUUCUUCGCUGCAGCAGGCUUCUUGACUUUAGGCUUCUUCUCUGCAGCAGGCUUCUUGACUUUAGGCUUCUUAGCUGCAGCAGGCUUCUUGACUUUAGGCUUCUUAGCUGCAGCAGGCUUCUUGACUUUAGGCUUCUUAGCUGCAGCAGGCUUCUUGACUUUAGGCUUCUUAGCUGCAGCAGGCUUCUUGACUUUAGGCUUCUUCGCUGCAGCAGGCUUCUUGGGUACAGGUGCCUUGGGUGCGGUCUUCAUGUUUUUCUCAAGGUGGUCCUCAAUUUUGGGCUUCUUGGCGUUAUUUACAGUGCUUCCAACUGUCCCAAUUCCAAUGCUUUCAGCCUUCCUCUUCAGGUUUGGUUGGGCUUGGUGAAUAGGCAUAGCUGGAGGCAUAACAGGUGAAACAGUUACAUCACAACAUAAGUAAUGAGAUUACAUUAUAAAUGUGUUUGGUUAUGAACAGUGGAAAGCGUAAUUUGACAAUUCUCCAUGUAAAAUCUUAGAAUUACAAAUGGUACCCAUUUACUGUAGUUAUAAUUAAUCACUGUAGAGUUUAUUUCAUUUGCCGUUCUUUCAGCACCCAUGACACGAGACGAUGCUGGAGGAGAACCUUGAGAUGGAGGCAUCCAUGAGGAGGAUCCUUUUGAUGGAAAUAUCAAAGAGAAAAUACUAAUGUUAUAAUGUUUUAUCAUUGGAAUGUGAUACAAAGCGAGGCAGCGGUGUGCUUCAGGACCAUGCGGAUGCCUCUGAGCGGUCGGGUAGGCUGUUUGGAGUGCUUCUCCGACGGGGGUAAAAAAACACACACACAAAAGGUAUGUCCCCCCACUUCUAAAAACAAAGUUGCACCCCGAACAAAAUAGCAAAUUAUUGUGCAUUUUGUAAAUAUUAUGAUAUACCAACAGAAUUUACUGAGCAUUAUACAGUGUUUGAUAAAGUAGAUCACGUUUUUUUAUCACAUUUUUCAUAUAAACAGUAU
ensembl:lncRNA